GGGUUGUGAGGUUAAGCGACUAAGCGUACACGGUGGAUGCCCUGGCAGUCAGAGGCGAUGAAGGACGUGCUAAUCUGCGAUAAGCGUCGGUAAGGUGAUAUGAACCGUUAUAACCGGCGAUUUCCGAAUGGGGAAACCCAGUGUGAUUCGUCACACUAUCAUUAACUGAAUCCAUAGGUUAAUGAGGCGAACCGGGGGAACUGAAACAUCUAAGUACCCCGAGGAAAAGAAAUCAACCGAGAUUCCCCCAGUAGCGGCGAGCGAACGGGGAGCAGCCCAGAGCCUGAAUCAGUGUGUGUGUUAGUGGAAGCGUCUGGAAAGGCGCGCGAUACAGGGUGACAGCCCCGUACACAAAAAUGCACAUGCUGUGAGCUCGAUGAGUAGGGCGGGACACGUGGUAUCCUGUCUGAAUAUGGGGGGACCAUCCUCCAAGGCUAAAUACUCCUGACUGACCGAUAGUGAACCAGUACCGUGAGGGAAAGGCGAAAAGAACCCCGGCGAGGGGAGUGAAAAAGAACCUGAAACCGUGUACGUACAAGCAGUGGGAGCACGCUUAGGCGUGUGACUGCGUACCUUUUGUAUAAUGGGUCAGCGACUUAUAUUCUGUAGCAAGGUUAACCGAAUAGGGGAGCCGAAGGGAAACCGAGUCUUAACUGGGCGUUAAGUUGCAGGGUAUAGACCCGAAACCCGGUGAUCUAGCCAUGGGCAGGUUGAAGGUUGGGUAACACUAACUGGAGGACCGAACCGACUAAUGUUGAAAAAUUAGCGGAUGACUUGUGGCUGGGGGUGAAAGGCCAAUCAAACCGGGAGAUAGCUGGUUCUCCCCGAAAGCUAUUUAGGUAGCGCCUCGUGAAUUCAUCUCCGGGGGUAGAGCACUGUUUCGGCAAGGGGGUCAUCCCGACUUACCAACCCGAUGCAAACUGCGAAUACCGGAGAAUGUUAUCACGGGAGACACACGGCGGGUGCUAACGUCCGUCGUGAAGAGGGAAACAACCCAGACCGCCAGCUAAGGUCCCAAAGUCAUGGUUAAGUGGGAAACGAUGUGGGAAGGCCCAGACAGCCAGGAUGUUGGCUUAGAAGCAGCCAUCAUUUAAAGAAAGCGUAAUAGCUCACUGGUCGAGUCGGCCUGCGCGGAAGAUGUAACGGGGCUAAACCAUGCACCGAAGCUGCGGCAGCGACGCUGAUGCGUUGUUGGGUAGGGGAGCGUUCUGUAAGCCUGCGAAGGUGUGCUGUGAGGCAUGCUGGAGGUAUCAGAAGUGCGAAUGCUGACAUAAGUAACGAUAAAGCGGGUGAAAAGCCCGCUCGCCGGAAGACCAAGGGUUCCUGUCCAACGUUAAUCGGGGCAGGGUGAGUCGACCCCUAAGGCGAGGCCGAAAGGCGUAGUCGAUGGGAAACAGGUUAAUAUUCCUGUACUUGGUGUUACUGCGAAGGGGGGACGGAGAAGGCUAUGUUGGCCGGGCGACGGUUGUCCCGGUUUAAGCGUGUAGGCUGGUUUUCCAGGCAAAUCCGGAAAAUCAAGGCUGAGGCGUGAUGACGAGGCACUACGGUGCUGAAGCAACAAAUGCCCUGCUUCCAGGAAAAGCCUCUAAGCAUCAGGUAACAUCAAAUCGUACCCCAAACCGACACAGGUGGUCAGGUAGAGAAUACCAAGGCGCUUGAGAGAACUCGGGUGAAGGAACUAGGCAAAAUGGUGCCGUAACUUCGGGAGAAGGCACGCUGAUAUGUAGGUGAAGCGACUUGCUCGUGGAGCUGAAAUCAGUCGAAGAUACCAGCUGGCUGCAACUGUUUANUGGAGCUGAAAUCAGUCGAAGAUACCAGCUGGCUGCAACUGUUUAUUAAAAACACAGCACUGUGCAAACACGAAAGUGGACGUAUACGGUGUGACGCCUGCCCGGUGCCGGAAGGUUAAUUGAUGGGGUCAGCGCAAGCGAAGCUCUUGAUCGAAGCCCCGGUAAACGGCGGCCGUAACUAUAACGGUCCUAAGGUAGCGAAAUUCCUUGUCGGGUAAGUUCCGACCUGCACGAAUGGCGUAAUGAUGGCCAGGCUGUCUCCACCCGAGACUCAGUGAAAUUGAACUCGCUGUGAAGAUGCAGUGUACCCGCGGCAAGACGGAAAGACCCCGUGAACCUUUACUAUAGCUUGACACUGAACAUUGAGCCUUGAUGUGUAGGAUAGGUGGGAGGCUUUGAAGUGUGGACGCCAGUCUGCAUGGAGCCGACCUUGAAAUACCACCCUUUAAUGUUUGAUGUUCUAACGUUGACCCGUGAUCCGGGUUGCGGACAGUGUCUGGUGGGUAGUUUGACUGGGGCGGUCUCCUCCUAAAGAGUAACGGAGGAGCACGAAGGUUGGCUAAUCCUGGUCGGACAUCAGGAGGUUAGUGCAAUGGCAUAAGCCAGCUUGACUGCGAGCGUGACGGCGCGAGCAGGUGCGAAAGCAGGUCAUAGUGAUCCGGUGGUUCUGAAUGGAAGGGCCAUCGCUCAACGGAUAAAAGGUACUCCGGGGAUAACAGGCUGAUACCGCCCAAGAGUUCAUAUCGACGGCGGUGUUUGGCACCUCGAUGUCGGCUCAUCACAUCCUGGGGCUGAAGUAGGUCCCAAGGGUAUGGCUGUUCGCCAUUUAAAGUGGUACGCGAGCUGGGUUUAGAACGUCGUGAGACAGUUCGGUCCCUAUCUGCCGUGGGCGCUGGAGAACUGAGGGGGGCUGCUCCUAGUACGAGAGGACCGGAGUGGACGCAUCACUGGUGUUCGGGUUGUCAUGCCAAUGGCACUGCCCGGUAGCUAAAUGCGGAAGAGAUAAGUGCUGAAAGCAUCUAAGCACGAAACUUGCCCCGAGAUGAGUUCUCCCUGACUCCUUGAGAGUCCUGAAGGAACGUUGAAGACGACGACGUUGAUAGGCCGGGUGUGUAAGCGCAGCGAUGCGUUGAGCUAACCGGUACUAAUGAACCGUGAGGCUUAACCUUACAACGCCGAAGGUGUUU
rnacentral:rRNA from 1 species